rnacentral:rRNA from 1 species
UCGAGAAUAUUCCACAAUGGACGAAAGUCUGAUGGAGCGACGCCGCGUGCAGGAUGAAGGUAUUCGUAUUGUAAACUGCUUUUUUUAGGGAUGAAUUUCGAUGACAGUACCUAAAGAAUAAGAGGUUACUAACUCUGUGCCAGCAGUAGCGGUAAUACAGAGACCUCAAGCGUUAUCCGGAUUUAUUGGGCGUAAAGAGCUGGUAGGUGGUUAUAUUAGUCAGAUGUCAAAUCUCGGGGCUUAACUCCGAAACUGCAUUUGAAACGGUAUAACUAGAGGGUGUGAGAGAUCUAUGGAACUCAUGGUGUAGCAGUGAAAUGCGUUGAUAUCAUGAGGAACACCAAAGGCGAAGGCAUUAGAUUGGCACACUCCUGACACUGAGCAGCGAAAGCGUGGGUAG